UGAAAGCUGGUUGUACUAGAAGCCGCUGUGCUAACUCGCCGCAAGGUGAGAGGCAGGUGCCCAAGGUAUGACUAGUGAUUGGGGUG
rnacentral:rRNA from 1 species